UGCCCAAUGGUGUAAUUGGCAACACUACAGAUUCUGGUCCUGUCAUUGGAGGUUCGAGUCCUCCUUGGGCAA
rnacentral:tRNA from 1 species